UGACGAGCAACUAUUGCAAUUGCUAAGAAUAAUUAUUAUAAGUAAUACAUCGUGAGAAAAAUGAAGUACUUGAUGAUUUUUGCAUCCGUCGUUACUGUAGCUGUUGCAUUACCUACCGGUGAACUAGUGGACCCUGGUGCUGGCGAACCAGUCCCGGUUCCAGAACCCAUUGUAGAUGACCAUGCUGUUUUGAACGAUGAGCCUGCUAACAUUGAGCCUGCUUCCGGAGAUCAACAAGAAGAUAUUAUUUCAGCAGCACUUGCUUUACCAAAAACAUCGACAGGUCGUACUGCGUCUGGUGCACCUUUUGUACAAAACACGUUUCACAUUAAUUCUAUUAGUACUGCCUUCAGCAACAUGGCUUCCGUUAAGGUUUGGUAGGAGAAAGGGACGGUAAGGAACAUUGAUGAUAAAAUAAUAAAACAUAACAUAACAUAA